GACGAACGCUGGCGGCGUGCUUAACACAUGCAAGUCGAACGGAAAGGCCCUGCUUUUGUGGGGUUCUCGAGUGGCGAACGGGUGAGUAACACGUGAGUAACCUGCCCUUGACUUUGGGAUAACUUCAGGAAACUGGGGCUAAUACCGGAUAGGAGCUCCUGCUGCAUGGUGGGGGUUGGAAAGUUUCGGCGGUUGGGGAUGGACUCGCGGCUUAUCAGCUUGUUGGUGGGGUAGUGGCUUACCAAGGCUUUGACGGGUAGCCGGCCUGAGAGGGUGGACGGCGACAUGGGGACUGAGAGACGGACCAGAAUCCUACGGGAGGCAGCAGUGGGGAAUAUUGCACAAUGGGCGGAAGCCUGAUGCAGCAACGCCGCGUGCGGGAUGACGGCCUUCGGGUUGUAAACCGCUUUCGCCGGUGACGAAGCGUGAGUGACGGUAAUGGGUAAAGAAGCACCGGCUAACUACGUG
rnacentral:rRNA from 1 species